UGUUAAUAUAACAAAAUACUAAAUAGAAGACAAAUCAAGUAGAUUGCUUGCAGACUCAUGCUCACAACGAAAAUAGGAAAUUCUCACUAAGGACAAAUCGUUAAAUGGUUGUAUUGAGAUACAGGCAAUCAAUGAAACCUCUUUUAAAUUAAACACAAUCCUCCCCCACCCCUUCCCACUUCACCACAAUUCUUAAGAACUACUGAAGAUCAUGGUCUGAUGUGAUUCUUUUGGGCUCUGAACAUAGCACAAUUAACUCAAUAUUUUCAUCAAUAUGCACCAAAAAGCAAUCAAAUACCACUGUAAAGGUCACCACCUGCUCCUGAUGGAUACCCGGCGCAACUGCUUCCAUCACUAAUCAUUUUCCAUACAACUUGAAUGCCCAUUAAACAUUUGAUUUACAAUAAAAUAGUCUGCCAUACCUUGGAUGUAUCACUUACCAGAAUCUGACAUUUAUAGCUUAGAAUUUUUUGGCAGCAAAGUAAAAUACUAAUAUAAAUAUCGCAUAGAUUGAAUGCAAAAAUGUUCCUCUUUGUUAUACAUUGAUUGCAAUCAGAUGUGCUUCGUACAAGGGUGUAUAGAAAGUCAGUUAUAAAACUGGAAUGCAAAAAUGACAGCUAGCAUUCAUUUAUUUAUUUAAAUAUGGAUGAGAACAUUUAGCAUUGUCACAGAGAUGUGAUUGAGUUGCCCAUUUAAAAACAAAAGUGUCAUGCGCAUAUUUUAUGAAAGAAUAGGAAUUUGAUUUUUUUAAAAAUGCCAAGCAAAAUGCGUUCCCCAAUUAGAUCAUGCAGGCCAAAAUUGAAAAAGUGGCUAAUAUGCACUUUUGCACUAGUUAGGGUUACGUUGCACUAGUCAGGGGAAGCUACACUUCACGUAUGAUGUCAUAGUAAGUGGACACACAAUUGUAGCAAUGUUAGCAAAUCACUGCAGUUCCAAAGAAUAUGUUUAAGGCUAAACAAACAAUAAAUUAUUUGCAACUUGCACGGAACCAUACCAAG